rnacentral:rRNA from 1 species
AUACGGAGGGUGCAAGCGUUACUCGGAAUCACUGGGCGUAAAGCGCGCACAGGCGGCUAUUUAAGUUGGAUGUGAAAGCCUACGGCUCAACCGUAGAACUGCAUCCAAAACUAUUUAGCUAGAGUGUGGGAGAGGAAGAUGGAAUUAGUUGUGUAGGGGUAAAAUCCGUAGAGAUAACUAGGAAUACCAAAAGCGAAGGCAAUCUUCUGGAACACUACUGACGCUGAGGCGCGAAAGCGUGGGGAGCAAACGGGAUUAGAAACCCCAGUAGUCC